rnacentral:rRNA from 1 species
GACGAACGCUGGCGGCGUGCUUAACACAUGCGAGUCGAACGGAAAGGCCCUGCUUUUGUGGGGUGCUCGAGUGGCGAACGGGUGAGUAACACGUGAGUAACCUGCCCUUGACUUUGGGAUAACUUCAGGAAACUGGGGCUAAUACCGGAUAGGAGCUCCUGCUGCAUGGUGGGGGUUAGAAAGUUUCGGCGGUUGGGGAUGGACUCGCGGCUUAUCAGCUUGUUGGUGGGGUAGUGGCUUACCAAGGCUUUGACGGGUAGCCGGCCUGAGAGGGUGACCGGCCACAUUGGGACUGAGAUACGGCCCAGACUCCUACGGGAGGCAGCAGUGGGGAAUAUUGCACAAUGGGCGGAAGCCUGAUGCAGCAACGCCGCGUGCGGGAUGACGGCCUUCGGGUUGUAAACCGCUUUCGCCUGUGACGAAGCGUGAGUGACGGUAAUGGGUAAAGAAGCACCGGCUAACUACGUG